AAAGCAUUCUUGGAAGCUAGCUUUGCAGCGGGACUGUCAGGACAAGUACUGUGUAUCCAAAGGUCCUCUCCUCUGCUCUAUUGAGCCCUAGCCCUAUGAAGUGACCCCAGAAAAUGCUUUCCUUCCAAUUUCAUCAUUUACGCUGUCUGCCAAGCACCUCGUCAGCUCACAUCUGGACACUUUGCUCAAGCAGCAUGGGUCUCCAAGCCAGGGGCCACGUGGAGGGAGGCAGCAGAGAUGAGGUGCCUGGGCAGGAGCUGUCCUGCAAGAGCCUGGAGUCUGCAGGAGCGUUUAGGGAUCAGUGAGUGGGCCGAGCCAGGACUCAACCCCAGCAAGUUCACAGAGGCCUCAAACGCUGACAAGCAGAAGUUUUCAUCUUUAAGACUGACAGGCUCCAAAAGGAAGAACCUGCACCUCGUCAGGGUGAAGAUGUCAGCUACCACCUUAAAGAAGCCUGUAUUUUUAGCCCCCAAGUGAGCCAUCAAACAGGACCAUGUGCAUGGCAGGAUGCAGGCUUGUCAUCUCAGGUGAUCUCCUUGGCAUUGCACCUGGGCUGGGGCAGAGAGGAGCUUGGCCCAUGACAGCAUCACACGAUACGAAAAUCCAGAAAAAUGGCCCUUAAGGCCGGCUGUGUGAUGCAGCAGGAGAACGGGUUCACACCAGGAAAGACAUGGGCAGGUGUGAGCCUUUGAGGAUGGGAAGCCGCCCUUAUCAGUGUUUGCAGUUGGGGUGAGGUGCUUGUGCAAAAUCGGGCUUCAAAACUGCCCGUCAAUCAUCACGUGUCCAUGACCUCAAGUAUGUGUCAUUUCUGUGUAUUGAGUCAUUUCAAACCCUCCCUUCUAGGUAUUUUGAAAUAUACAAUACAUUGUGAUUAAGUAUGGUAAUCCUACUCUGCUAUU
rnacentral:lncRNA from 1 species